CCUACGGGAGACUGCAGUGAGGAAUAUUGGUCAAUGGCCGGAAGGCUGAACCAGCCAUGCCGCGUGAAGGUCAGUGCCCUAUGGGCGUUAAACUUCUUUUGUGCGGGAGCAAUAAUGGUCACGUGUGGCCAGACGAGAGUACCGUACGAAUAAGCAUCGGCUGACUCCGUGCCAGCAGCCGCGGUAAUACGGGGGAUGCAAGCGUUAUCCGGAUUUAUUGGGUUUAAAGGGUGCGUAGGCUGUGAGGGAAGUCAGCGGUGAAAUGCCCCCGCUCAACGGGGUGAAGUGCCAUUGAUACUGCCUGGCUGGAAUGCGGAUGCGGUGGGAGGAAUGUGUGGUGUAGCGGUGAAAUGCAUAGAUAUCACACAGAACACCGAUUGCGAAGGCAUCUCACGAAUCCGCGAUUGACGCUGAUGCACGAAAGCGUGGGUAUCAAACAGGAUUAGAUACCCGAGUAGUC
rnacentral:rRNA from 1 species